ACGGGAGGCAGCAGUGGGGAAUAUUGGGCAAUGGGCGCAAGCCUGACCCAGCAAUGCCGCGUGAAGGAUGAAGGUCUUCGGAUUGUAAACUUCUUUGAUUGGGGAAGAAUAAAAUGACCUACCCAAAGAACAAGCUCCGGCUAACUACGUGCCAGCAGCCGCGGUAAUACGUAGGUGGCGAGCGUUAUCCGGAUUUACUGGGUGUAAAGGGCGCGUAGGCGGGGAUGCAAGUCAGGUGUGAAAUCUAUGGGCUUAACCCGUAAACUGCACUUGAAACUGUAUCUCUUGAGUGCUGGAGAGGUAGAUGGAAUUCCUUGUGUAGCGGUGAAAUGCGUAGAUAUAAGGAAGAACACCAGUGGCGAAGGCGAUCUACUGGACAGUAACUGACGCUGAGGCGCGAAAGCGUGGGGAGCAAACAGGAUUAGAUACCCUGGUA
rnacentral:rRNA from 1 species